UGCUUAUGUUGUGUUACUUGGUGG
rnacentral:siRNA from 1 species